ensembl:lncRNA
GGCUGCAGCCAGGACCUUCUCGCCAUGUCGCGGAAACGCUGCGUGUUUCGAGCAUUUCACCGAGGACAGCUUCCUGAACCUGGGCGAGUACAACGCAGGCUACACACAAAGACUGCUCCUGAAACCCGGAGCGACUCCCACUUUAUUCGGACAGUCUUGCGUGUCUGAAUCAGAGCCGAGUACAUCUCAGCAGGGCCAGGGUUCACAGCAGUUCUCCACUCUAUCCAGAAGCCGUCAUGUGGGAUGUCAGACGGACGGCGUAGAGACGAGAUCAGUGGGCACACUGACUUUAGUGUCGCCAAAGAUGCGAUCAGUUGGCACACAACUGUCCAUGGGUACACUAAAGGGCACGCAUGUACGCAGCAAAGGCACCCAGGCUACGGUUUCUUGUCUGGAUGUAGGCACUGAAACCGCCCCCAUCUCAUCAACACCCAUAAACACCCGUGCUUUCAGACCACGUAAGAGACCUCGUCUGGAGGAGGAGGACUGAGACUGGCGUUUCUGAAAUCAUGAAAACCCAUGACUCCGCGUAUACACCAGGUGACUCGGAGGAGAGGAAACCCACUGAUGUCCGCAGCUACUUGGGCCUUGUUUUUUCAACUUGAAAAGAUCUCCAAGGCCAUGCAGCUUGAGAUGAUGCAGUAUAGUAUGUUCAGGAGACAUGCUAGGAACUUCUUGGAGCUUGCUAUAAUAUACAAGUGGAACUUGGACAGGAAAAAGGUGGCCACGUGCAACCACAUCCAAAACGUCUAUGUCCGUGAAAACCCUGUUUGAACUUUAAACGAAGUUUGAACAUCCAGACAGUUUUUAGGGAUCCCAAAAACUGGUUCCACCCAGUGUAAAAGGUCCUGAACAAGAAGAGAGCGCUGUAGGAUGUGGAAACGCUCAGUCAUCACUACCAGACAUCUUUGCUGGAGGCCUUCCGAGGCGUGAUCCUGUGUUUUGCCCCCAGGACUGUGGUUUUCUCUUUCAUUGCAAUGUUGUGCAGGUUGUACCUUGCGGCUGUGCAUUACAGUGAAAAUGCAGACCGUGAACAGGCAACAUCAGCGGGACAAGCAGUGUACCCCUUCCCAGGUUCCUGUCCUCACAGUUUGAAAAACCUUCAAAGGAGGGAGUUAUUGUCCGUCCACGUGAAGGAGUGGUCGAAAACCAGCAAACUGUCCAUCCGGAUCAGGAAACUCCAGAUAUAGCCUCAGCACAACACAGGACUGGAGGACUACGUAGCCCCAGCUGAUCAAUCUUCGAUAGGUGGCAUAACGGUGCCGUCUGUAAUAAGAAAGGUGGACUCUAUUACCAUUGUAGAUAAAACUGUAUAACGCGUACAGUUCAAUUGGUGUAAAAAAAUUUUUUACAACUCUUACUAAAAAAUAAAUAUAUCUUGAUAAAUAUUUUCUAUAGUGACAUUUAUUUAUUUCUUCACAUUUUUAUUCGUUUUGUUGCAGUGGUAUCAUGAACAUAAAAUGUCCUAAGAACAUACUCUUCUUUUACUCUGCACUUCAAAGGUCCAUAGUCCACUCAGUAAAUGUAUGAGUUAUCUGAAGCGUGUAAGGAUUCAAACAGUUCGCUUCGGAGUUUUAUAACAUUGUAUCUGAAAGAAUCUGGCUCGGACUGAUAGGGUGAAAACGUAGAAUUGCUUUAGAAGCUUUGGAGGUUGGAGCUAACCUAAGGAGUGUUACAUUUCCAACUCACGUUUGAGGUUUUUGGCCAAUCACAAUGUAACAGGUCAGCUGGCCAAUCAGAGCACUCCGGGCUUUUCAGAACGAGGGGCUUUGCAGAAAUUGGAGCAUUUCAGGCAUCCUGGGAAUAGAAUGAACACCUCUUCCUCUUUGCUCCUCUGUAACUCCUCCCAACCAGGUACAGACGGAUAAAACCUCUCACCGUCUGCACGUUCCUCUGUCUCCUGAACACCAGCUACUCACAUGACUUCCUGAAUACCGUAUAUGGAGUUGUUCCUCUCUUACACUGAUAUGCUUCUUGUAUGCAAUUAUGCCCUUCUGCCUAGUGAAUCAAUAGUUACCCAUUGUCUCUGUUGUGUGUCAAGCCUGAUAUAUAGUCUGCAUUUCUUUGAAUAAAUCAGAGCGCUUGCCAUUUGAGUUUUGUGUAUCUUUGUGUUAUUUGGUCAUCUCUCCCAAGGCCUUUCACACACAAUUCCAUCACAUCAUCAAAAGGUUUUGUUUGAGAUUGUGGCAGAUGUAAAGGAGGGGAAUUUGUAUGCGUGUCAGGUUUUUUGACAAGAAACACUUCCAUGUAGAAUACACUGUAUAUC